rnacentral:rRNA from 1 species
GUUUGAUCCUGGCUCAGGACGAACGCUGGCGGCGUGCUUAACACAUGCAAGUCGAACGGUGACGAGGAGCUUGCUCCUCUGAUCAGUGGCGAACGGGUGAGUAACACGUGAGCAACCUACCCUUGACUCUGGGAUAACAGUUGGAAACAGCUGCUAAUACCGGAUACGACCCCGACAGGCAUCUGCCGGGGUGGAAAGCUCCGACGGUCAAGGAUGGGCUCGCGGCCUAUCAGCUUGUUGGUGAGGUAACGGCUCACCAAGGCGACGACGGGUAGCCGGCCUGAGAGGGCGACCGGCCACACUGGGACUGAGAUACGGCCCAGACUCCUACGGGAGGCAGCAGUGGGGAAUAUUGCACAAUGGGCGCAAGCCUGAUCCAGCCAUGCCGCGUGUGUGAAGAAGGCCCUCGGGUUGUAAAGCACUUUAAGCGAGGAGGAAGGUCAUCAUACUAAUACUAUGGUGAAUUGACGUUACUCGCAGAAUAAGCACGGCUAACUCUGUG